CCUACGGGCGGCUGCAGUGGGGAAUAUUGGACAAUGGGCGAAAGCCUGAUCCAGCCAUGCCGCGUGUGUGAAGAAGGCCUUCGGGUUGUAAAGCACUUUCAGUGGGGAAGAAAGCCUUGGGGCUAAUACCCUCGAGGAAGGACAUCACCCACAGAAGAAGCACCGGCUAACUCCGUGCCAGCAGCCGCGGUAAUACGGAGGGUGCGAGCGUUAAUCGGAAUUACUGGGCGUAAAGCGCGCGUAGGCGGUCUGAUAAGCCGGUUGUGAAAGCCCCGGGCUCAACCUGGGAACGGCAUCCGGAACUGUCAGGCUAGAGUGCAGGAGAGGAGGUAGAAUUCCCGGUGUAGCGGUGAAAUGCGUAGAGAUCGGGAGGAAUACCAGUGGCGAAGGCGGCCUUCUGGACUGACACUGACGCUGAGGUGCGAAAGCGUGGGUAGCAAACAGGAUUAGAUACCCCUGUAGUC
rnacentral:rRNA from 1 species